rnacentral:misc_RNA from 1 species
UUUUUAGUGUGAUCAACAGAAUCACUUUGCAGUGAAGCAAUAACGACAGAACAACAGUAGGGGUAGAAUGAAAAGUGACAAGUAUGGAUGGUAAUAAAUCACUAGAAAGUUCAAGGAUCAAAUUAAUGACCAUAGAUAAGGGUGAAAUUGGUGUUGGAAGAAUUUAUUAGUGAGAGAAAUCUUUCAGGAAUCAACAAAAGUUAAGGACACAACAUAAACGAUGAUAGAUAUGAAUCAUAGGUCGAGUAUAAGUAAAGUUAAUAAAUUAUAAAAUAUUAUGUCAGGAAGGACAAUGGUACGGUAAAGUGUUCAUGCA